ensembl:lncRNA
AAAAAUUUAAUAGAAUUCAUAAACUCAGAGCAAGAUAACAGUGCAAGGCUUAAAUUGGGGCUGCUGAGAUUCUGACGUAAGAGAAAGAGCAUAGCAGCGGAGCACGGCCGGGUGCUAAUAUCUGGUAAACGGACCAACACCGCAAUGGAUUUUUAAGUAAUGUGUGUGUCUAGCCUGAAUCUAGAGGACUGCCUCAGGACUGCCUGCUUCUUCUCCAGCUAAUAUUGACCAGUAUUGACCAAAACAAGAGCAGUGCCUACCUGUCCUCAUUCAGCCCUCUGCUCAUUUUAUACAUGCCCAAGGUGACAAAGCACCAGCUCUUGACCUGGCAGCACAGAUGGAGCAUCAGCACAGAGGCUGCAAGGCUGAGGGUUCCCCAGCUCCUCCAGCCUGUAUGCCACCUGCAGCCUCAAAUGGGACAGAAACCAACACCCAACACUUAUUCCAUUCCAUUCCACUCCCAUGGGCAGCCAUCUGGGAGUGGCACAUGGCUGGAGAGCAUCACGUGCUUCCUGCUAUUGCAAGCAAAGGGGGUUCACCCACCCAUCUCCAUGCGGAGUGAAUCACCCUCUGGCAUCAGCCACCUCCCACCAGGUGCUACAG